AACAAGUUCGUCGUUAAUGAUGGAUUUGUGUUCUGCGCUAACAAGCUAUGCAUUCCAGCUAGCUCCGUUCAUCUUUUGUUGUUGCAGGAGGCGCAUGGAGGAGGAUUAAUGGGACACUUUGGCAUGAAGAAGACGGAGGACGUACUUGCUACACAUUUCUUUUGGCCAAAUAUGAGACGGGAUGUUGAGUGUUUUGUUGCUCACUGCACUACAUGUCAAAAAGCUAAGUCACGACUCAAUCCUCAUGGUUUAUAUAUGCCUUUACCUGUACCUAGUGUUCCUUGGGAGGAUAUAUCUAUGGACAUUGUUUUAGGUUUACCUCGAAUAAAGAAGGGGAUGGAUAGCAUAUUUGUUGUCAUGGAUAGAUUCUCGAAAAUGGCACACUUUAUACCAUGUCAUAAAAGCGAU
rnacentral:rRNA from 1 species